rnacentral:rRNA from 1 species
AGUAAAGUCGUAACAAGGUUUCGCCACAAGAGAUCCUUCUUUGAAGCCUCUCACGGCGACUAUAAUCAUACGUGCAGUCUAGAGAUAGGCGACGUCACCCCUGUGCUGGAACGCUGCUACAACGGUGGCGGAUCAGCAGCCAGGCUUCCCUGGUCCACAGAUUAGGUGGUGGCGGUCCCCGGGCACCCCGCCGUGGGAUCAAGAUAUAAUCGGUCUCCAUCACCCGAGUGGGAUGGUUGAGAAACGUUCCGUAGGUGAACCUGCGGAAGGAUCAUUAUCGAGUUAGGGUCUUCGGGGCCCCAUCUCCAACUCUUGCCUAUCUUACCAUGUUGCUUUGGCGGGCCCGUCUUUCACCGGACCGUCGGGGGCUUCGGCCCCUGACCCGUGCCCGCCAAUAGCCCCCACAAAUACCUUGAACAGUGAUGUCUAAGCCUUCAAGUAAUUAAAAAAAACUUUCAACAACGGAUCUCUUGGUUCUGGCAUCGAUGAAGAACGCAGCGAAAUGCGAUAAGUAAUGCGAAUUGCAGAAUUCCGUGAGUCAUCGAAUCUUUGAACGCACAUUGCGCCCUUUGGUAUUCCGAAGGGCAUGCCUGUUCGAGCGUCAUUAUCGACCCUCAAGCCCGGCUUGCUGUUGGGUCCCACCGUUGACGAGACAUGGUGGACCCGAAAGAUAAUGGCAGAGCCCGUAGGGCCCCCGGAUGCAACGAGCUGUAUAGCACGCGUCUGGGCGGUCUUCUCGGCUCGGUCUUAACCAAUCUAUUUCUCAGAUUGACCUCGGAUCAGGUAGGGAUACCCGCUGAACUUAAC